GGGCUUGUAGCUCAGUGGUAGUAGCGCCCGCUUUGCAUGCGGGAGGUCAGGGGUUCAAUCCCCCUCGAGUCCA
rfam:Aspergillus nomius NRRL 13137 contig00290, whole genome shotgun sequence.